GACGUAGGGCGCGAGCGUUGUCCGGAUUUAUUGGGCGUAAAGAGCUCGUAGGCGGCUUGUCGCGUCGACUGUGAAAACCCGCGGCUCAACUGUGGGCUUGCGGUCGAUACGGGCAGGCUAGAGUUCGGUAGGGGAGACUGGAAUUCCUGGUGUAGCGGUGAAAUGCGCAGAUAUCAGGAGGAACACCGGUGGCGAAGGCGGGUCUCUGGGCCGAUACUGACGCUGAGGAGCGAAAGCGUGGGGAGCGAACAGG
rnacentral:rRNA from 1 species